UUCAAAUGUUCUAAGUGGAGGAUGAGUGAAUUUGUUGGGCAUUGACCGGUGGCUAUCAUGUCAAGUGGACCCAAACACACGAGUAGCAAGUGAGAGCUCAGAUGCACAACGAAACAAACCGUGGAAGAACUGUAGCUUCUUGUUAUGCGCGCUCCAUCCCGCUAUAGGACAGGGUAUUUAUAGGCCAUCCGAGGAUAGGUGGUCCAAUGUACGUCCCUACCCAGGCUACCAACUAUAUUUGAGGGAUAACUCGUGUAACAGAGUAAUUAUAGUGCUACCCAUACAGUAAUCCGUGUACACCAGAAAACAUGCCCACACGCUACUCUGAUGGAUGGGCCCUUGGCGAUGCCUUCUGUUGCACCGGGGGAGUACAAGGUCGACUUGUAGCCUUCGCCAUGAGAGCAUUCGCGUCACCGCUCCCCUUGGUCGUGGCUGGCUUGGGCGCGUCCUUUAGUCGAUGUGCAAACGAAGGCCUCGGUUGUCGAUGACUUGUUGUUGCCCGCCCAACCGAAGACCCCAUCGCUCGUGAUCCUACGUAUGGUUAAUACAAGUGUGGUUUUGCUCUGUGGUCGAGGCCGAGCUUGGCCUUCGGCUACUCGUACAUCCUGAGGCCUCGGUACGAGGUAGUCCCUCCUCGGUGUUCUGUCAGGUCGAA
rnacentral:lncRNA from 7 species